rnacentral:rRNA from 1 species
CAGUAGCCGCGGGAAUACGUAGGGUGCAAGCGUUAAUCGGAAUUACUGGGCGUAAAGCGUGCGCAGGCGGUUAUAUAAGUCAGAUGUGAAAUCCCCGGGCUCAACCUGGGAACUGCAUUUGAGACUGUAUGGCUAGAGUGUGUCAGAGGGGGGUAGAAUUCCACGUGUAGCAGUGAAAUGCGUAGAUAUGUGGAGGAAUAUCGAUGGCGAAGGCAGCCCCCUGGGAUAACACUGACGCUCAUGCACGGAAGCGUGGGGAGCAAACAGGAUUAGAUACCCCAGUAGUCCCUGUCUCUUAUAC